CCAACAACAAUACAAAAAAGUUUUUCUCGGUACCAUAUGUGCCCAAGCUCACUGACAACAGAAGCUUACAUCGAAUUAUACAAAAAGAAAAUAUAUCAUUUGCAUAUAAAUCAAAUCUCACACUUAAACCAAUAUUUACAAACACAAAAUCUAAAAUACAAAAACAACAACAACAUAAUGUAGUCUACGAAAUUAAAUGCAAUGGAAAAAAUAAUGAAAACUGUGAUCUAGUAUACAUAGGUCAAACUAAGAGAAAUUUAGCAACGAGAUUAGCGGAACACGAAGCUGAUAUAAGAAAACAUAAAGAGACAACAGGGCUUUCACAGCACAUAACAACAAGCGGACACACGGUGGACUUCAAAAAUGUAAAAAUACUAGAUAAAGAGAGCAAACUUAACACAAGAUUAACUCUGGAGAGUCUUAGAAUCCAACAACAAAUAAAGAGAACGAUGAACACAAAAGAAGACACCGAUAGCAUUAAACAAAGCUAUGCUGUAGCAAUUUAAUUAAAGUACCUGAUACCCAGCUGUGAUAUAAGUGUUAAUUGUCAUAUUUGAGUUUUGCCGUCUCCGGGACAUAUGCAAUAGGAGCGGAAGGGAAGCAAAUUAUGUAUUAUGUUUUGAAUUAUUAAAUUGAAUAAAUUACCCCUGAUGAAGUAAGAAAUACUUACGAAACGUUGGGAAAAUAAUGGGAUAGAACUUGUUUUUAUUCGCAUUUGCUCUAUAUAGACCAAAACAGCCUAACUACAGUGGAAUAUUUAAUCCAAAAAAUUGGUCAAAUUUAACA